rnacentral:rRNA from 1 species
AUUCUGACUGUGCGAAGGUAGCAUAAUAAAUUGUCUUUUAAAUGGAGGCUUGAAUGAAGGUUGGACAAAGUGUCAUCUGUUUCUUAAAUAUUUAUUGAAUUUGACUUUCAAGUGAAAAGGCUUGAAUAAAUUAAAAAGACGAUAAGACCCUAUAAAUCUUUACAAUAAACAUGUUUUAUAUUUUAAUUUAUAAGUUUAUAAAAUAUUAAAUUUGUAGUUGUUCCGCUGGGGCGGCGUGGAUAUAUUAAUAAACUGUCUAUAUAUUAAACUCAAUAAUCAUUGAUUAAUAAGAUUGAUCCUUAAAUAGAUUAAAAGAUUAAGAUACUUUAGGGAUAACAGCGUUAUUUUUUUUGAGAGUUCCUAUCGAAGAAAAAGUUUGCGACCUCGAUGUUGAAUUAAAGUAUCUUUAUGGUGCAGCCGCUAUAAGAGAG